CCUACGGGAGGCAGCAGUGGGGAAUAUUGCACAAUGGGGGAAACCCUGAUGCAGCGACGCCGCGUGAGUGAAGAAGUAAUUCGUUAUGUAAAGCUCUAUCAGCAGGGAAGAAAAUGACGGUACCUGAGCAAGAAGCCCCGGCUAACUACGUGCCAGCAGCCGCGGUAAUACGUAGGGGGCAAGCGUUAUCCGGAUUUACUGGGUGUAAAGGGAGCGUAGACGGCGGUGCAAGUCUGGAGUGAAAGGCGGGGGCUCAACCCCCGGACUGCUCUGGAAACUGUACGGCUGGAGUGCAGGAGAGGUAAGUGGAAUUCCUGGUGUAGCGGUGAAAUGCGUAGAUAUUAGGAGGAACACCAGUGGCGAAGGCGGCUUACUGGACUGUAACUGACGUUGAGGCUCGAAAGCGUGGGGAGCAAACAGGAUUAGAUACCCGUGUAGUC
rnacentral:rRNA from 1 species